CUGGCUGGGAGGAGGAAGGUUG
rnacentral:miRNA from 12 species